CCCUACUUCUAGCUAUCAAAGAAGCCACACCAAGGACUGGCCAUCAGAUUUCACUGACAAUACCUAAAGAUUUGGAUAAAGUCUUCUCUUUCCGAGCUCUCCAAAAUAUCCUGAGUUCCCUGGGCCCACAAGGAAAUGACCUGCCUUACUCAUCUGAUAAGGCUGUCAGGAACCCUGAGGAAAGCUGAGUUGUUACAAGAGGAAAGAAUUUUCCAUGGGCUAUAAUAAACUGUGAGCGGGACCGGGAGUGCUCAUCAGAUGGAGGACUGCACCUAGAAAGAAGUAUGGGAGGAAGAUCUGGAAAGGUUUUGUUUUGUUUUUUUUUAAAGAUCACUGAAGAAGUACAGCUCCUCUUUUUUCAUUUUGUAAAUUAAAACAAAACAAAUACACCAACCAAUAACAUAACCUAGAACCAAACAGUUAAAAAUGAGGUGAGACAAAUUGUUGAGAACAAGGAGGGUUUGGGAAGAGUGGAGGACUGAAAUGCUCAUAGGACAAUGGAAGGAAAAUAAGAAGAAAACCGGACUAGUGCCAGGCACUGAGGCCCAAGUGAACUUGAUGGUUAACCUAUGUGACAACAUACAAACACAUUCAGGUGUAGGAUUUCCUUUCAUUUGUUCAGCUGUCCCAACAGACUUGAGAAAAGAAACUACUGUGUUGGUAUAAAUCUUGAUUUUUUUCCAGGUGAUUGACAUGGCUAGGCAUAAUGACAUGGCUACUUCUCUCUGAUCCUAUGAUUGUUAUUUAAGUCAUAGAAGAAAUUCCAAAAUUUAGAAAACAGAAGAAAGAGGAAAGAUCAUACCACAUCGCAUAAAUAAACACAACAGUGGCACUUUGAUAUAAUUGUCUUUUUUUAAUACAUAUUUUUAUUUUUCACAUAAUGAAAAUCAAUGACUGUACAAUGAGGUAUGUUCUCUCUUUUUUUGUCAAAUUUAAAAUAAUCUUUUAGGGCACCUGGGUGGCUCAGUGGGUUAAGCAUCUGACUCUUGGUUUCGGCUCAGGUCAUGAUCUCAGGGUUGUGAGAUUGAGCCCCAAGGUGGGCUCUGAGUUGGGUGUGCUGGGUGCGGAGUCUGCUUGAGAUUCUCCCUCUCCCUCUCCUUCUGUCUCUCCACACCACCCCCACUUGCUCGAGCUCUCUCUUUAAAAUAAGUAAACAAAUAAUUUAAUUACUUAAUCUUUUACAAUGAUAAUUAUGUCUCAGGGGUGCGGAAAGUUCAAGUUAGAGAUUCAAAUUACUGGAAAUGAUUGGCAAGUGGCUCUGAACUCUAAUCUUUUUUUCAUAAUGUGCUGAGUGGCCUAUAUUCUCAAUUACAUACCUCUCUUAAAACCACUUCAAUAAUCAUCAAAUGUCUUUUGCCCAAACAUAAUCCUGUAAAUGCUUUUAGCAGUUUUAUAAAUUGUUCUGUUAGACUAGAAUUUAAAAGCAAAAUAAAUAUUCUCCAUAUUCAAAGGCUACUAAGUGCUCAUGCAAAUAUCACCUCUUUUAGAAACGUUUAAUUAGAAGAAUUAUUUUUAUAUUAUAGAGUAAAAAAGUUGAGUCAAAAAAUUAGAAAGCUUACGGUUUAAGUUUUUCAUUGUGAUCUAGUAAGAAAAAGGCCUAUGAAUAUUUGCUGAUGUUUUUGUUAGAUUUAACUCAAAUUUGGACAAGGUUCUUAAGUCCUUCCUGAUCUGAUCUUUUCCUCUCAAUGGACUCUCUACAUGCCUAGAGCAGCAUAUUAAAUUUAACAGCUCAGGAAGAAGUCCUAUAUCCUAUCUUUUAGAAGACAAAUUGUAUUAUUUCUUUGUCUCCCACUUGCACCAACAACAUUCUCUUAUACAUUUGGUCAACCACUCAAUGCCAACAGGGUUUCUCUCUCUCUGACACAUCUUUGGCUGUUUGACCUCCUGGCCUCUGACUUGGCCUAUUACAAAUCCCUGCCUGACACCCCUGGGUCUUGAAUCUGAUAACUCUGCUUUCAACAUCCCUGGUCACCUCUGUGGACCCCACCAUGAGCUUUUCUUUAAGUACCUCAUUACCAUGUUGUUAAGGAAAAUGGGCAGUCCUCCCAGCUAUAUCCCUUUAGACGAAAAUAAAAUCGUGUCUUGGAUACAAUCCUGGCAUUUAAACUCUCAGGA